rnacentral:rRNA from 1 species
AACGAACGCUAGCGGUGUGGAUUAGGCAUGCAAGUCGCGCGCGAAAGCCUUCGGGUGAGUAAAGCGGCGAAAGGGUGAGUAACACGUAACCAACGUACCCCUCAGACUGGGAUAACCACUGGAAACGGUGGAUAAUACCGGAUGGUCCACUGGGCAGCAUUGCCUGGCUGGUAAACGGCGGCCGCAAGGCGGUUGCUGAGGGAGCGGGUUGCGGCCUAUCAGCUUGUUGGUGAGGUAACGGCUCACCAAGGCUAUGACGGGUAACAGGUCUGAGAGGAUGAUCUGUCACACUGGGACUGAGACACUGCCCAGACUCCUACGGGAGGCUGCAGUCGAGAAUCUUCCACAAUGGGCGAAAGCCUGAUGGAGCGACACCGCGUGCAGGAUGAAGGCCU